AACAAUGUUAUCAUUAUGGGACUGCAGGGUGCCCUUAGCCUCCCUUUACAAUGGGUGAUUGUUAUCCCCUGCCUCAGGAAACCAUCACUUGACGCUGGCAAGCUAUCUUCUUGUCUCUACCUGUUAGUGGCUUGAGGGAACAGUAUUGCUCCAGGAGGUGAUUGCCAACAUGUGGUUUAUUUCUUAUGCAGGACCUUGAAGUUGUGCUGAACAAUAUUUUGUAAGAUGAAAACUAAGGCAAAGAAAGGUCUACUGUAUGAAAAUCCCAGAAAGUUCCAUUAGUGAGAUAUAUAAAAUUCCUGGCUAGAAAAUUUUGGUUGGUGUAUUUCUCUUACAAGCAAGGCUCGUAAGAAUGUUUCAUUGCUGAGAGGCCAGUGAUAAUGAUACCCUUAAGAAAAGACUCUGUAACUCUAUCACAAUUCCAGAAGCACCCAGAGCAGCAGAUUCUCCAAUGGUAUUUACCAGGUCAUCCUGAGAAUAAAUGUGCAAAGAACCACACUAACGGGAUGGUUUUCAACAACAUUUUGGAAGAGAUGGAAAACUGGUUUGAAAGCUAAGCUGCCAGCCAGAAAGACCAUUGCUGCAAAGGAAAAAUGAAACUUCUGUGUCCUGAUACCCCCAGAUCAAGAGGGACCAAUGGAAAAUACUUAAUGUCUUUGACAUCCCUAUUGCCCUGGCCUUGGGUUCCUCAAGUGGUGUUGGAAGAAAUGACCCGAUUCUCUUACAGUCCACUCUGGAGGAGUCCUUCUUCCGAAAGAAGAGACCAGUAUCACUGCCAUCCUUUAAAGCACUAAGGCACUGCAUGGCUUUCAUAGCUUUGCUCAUUCAUCAGAGCUCUCAUCCUAAGUGAAGCACUUGAGUUCAUGCCCCUCUCAUUGCUCUCUGUAAAAGAUUUUAACCCUCACGCUCUUUUUAGGGGUGCGUGUCCUCGGCCAGAGGCUGCUCAUUACAAACUGAUGUUAGAGUCAUAAAACAGCCACAGAAGAAAGAGAAGGAUAACCUUUCAUUUACAUUGCAUUCCCUCUGUUCCCCAAGUGGGUCUUCAUUUUGGCAUUUCUAAAAUGGACAGCAAUGAUGCUGAAUUAAUACAAACACAUACACAGGUGUUGCGAGGCUAGUAUUAACGCUUGUGAGGAAUAGGAAGCUCCUGAGAAAAGAGAUGCAACUCUGGAAGUUUGAACCAUCCGUGUUGCACAGCUGAUAGCAAGUUUAACCUGGUCAAACAUUAAACCUGAAGGAAUAUCUUUGCAUAGAAGGAUUUAGCCUAGUUAUGAAUGUGUUAAAUAAGUUGCUUUCUUAUCUGUAAAGGAAGAACUUGAUAAGCAUUUCUUCUGACACCAACUUCUAAAACUCCGCCCUCACCAUAAUAUAAUCUUCUCAGUUGGGCUAAUACAUCUGUCUGUGGGGGUCACACAGUGAAUCAGUUUCCAGAUCUGGUCCAAGUUAAAAGUACCUCAGCCAAAAGAGACGAGAUUAAGGUUUGUUUGUUUGUUUUUGGUUUUUUUGUUUUUUUCCUUUCUGAAUAAGUUCACAGCAUAGGUACAUAAACCAGCAAAACUGGCUAGGUUAGCCAGCACUGCUGAUUCAAGAAACGAUUGUGAAAUUACAUCCCAGUGUUGUAGCUGUCCUUAGCGCUAAGAACUGCCAAACUAGCCCUUUCGUGAUUGUUUAAUCCCAUUCCUGAGUGCUUAUUUUGAAUAUAGGACAAUGGUUGCAUGAGGACUUGAAGCCUAAGAAAAAAUGCAGACAUGAAUUUCUGUGCUGACAUUCCUGACUGAAUUGCUUAAGAGAAUUUUAGGUUGCCUAUGGGAGAAAUCAAAAUAGGCCAGUAUUUUAAAGGUCAGUAGCUGAGCCUCCAGGUUGUAGAGAGCCUCCCGGUAAAAAUGUGCAUACAAAAGAUUUGGUCAGGUUACUGUUUGAUUAUUUAAAUGUGAUGCUACUAUAUAUUUUUGCUAAUAUUUUCAGUUAAUUUUUAUAUUCUAAUCAUGACUGUUCCAAUGUUCCGUGACUAAUUUAAAAUGUUACAAAAACGCUCUCUUCCUACUCAUUCUCUAUGUUUUUCCUCCUGCAAAUUCUAAUUCUCAAUUCUGUAAAAAUUCCUAAUACCCUAGCAGCCUGUUAGUUGAUGUGCUAAUUUGUUUUUGAGCAAGUUAGCCAAAUAAACUGUCUGAACACAUUUCUAAGAUUAUUUGGAAAAAUUCCUCUGCUGCAUUGUGUAUAAUUAGGCUUGGCAGAACUCAGAUUCUGUAAUGACAGUUUCCGUUGCAGAUUUCUAAGAGGAAUCAAGGACAUGAAUCCACUGCUUGCCACUGCAGAGAACUCCAACUCAGUAAGGUUAUUCUGCAAAAAGUUUACUGUCUGCUGACUCUCUAGUGCUUUAUGGCAAAAUGUGUCCAAAUUUAUUCUCUGUAGCGAAGAUUCAAAAAAUCAUUAAAGAUGUUUAUUACUAGUCAAUAUCAGAUAAAAAAAUAUAAACAUAUAUCUGCUGAAGUGUACAGCUAAGUGAAGCACAGAUAAAUCUGGGAGUCUGUUUGGAUUGCACUUCUGUACUACACAAAUGUGGGACUUUGGGCAAAUUGCAGCCACAUUUUCAAAAGCAACUUAAAGAUUUCCUUUGAUUUGUUUUCAGUCAAGUAUCUUUCACUAUAUCACACUGAGACCUCUUGAAUAAUUCUAAUUAGCAGCCUUCAGAAAAAAAGGACAACCCUUAUUUUCUCUGUUUCAGGCUGUAUAUUCAACCUGUUCUUCUCCCUGAUUACCUAACAGGGUUGUAGGCACAAUUUUCAUUCAUUAUCCUAUCCCAUGGGGGUAUCAAAUGAGUAAAUGAAAUAAUCUUUGAUCAUUUUCAUCAAAAUACUGCUUCCACCUAAGAUUCUCAAUGUGUUUUUCUUUGCAGAAACUAUGCUACACUCCAGUAUCAUUUUAAACUCUUCGGGACAACAAUUUUUACAAGACAGCUGUAGUGCAGAUCACAGGGUACUUUGAGUUACAGUACGAAAACAAGCUUCCCAAACAAUUCACUAGAUCUUGUAAGUGAGCUUUUCCAAAUAAGACAUCAUGCUUCCAAGCGUGUGGACAAUAUCACAGGGAGCCAAGAAUAUGGAGAAUUACAAUACUCCAUUAAUAAACAUGCUUGUUCUCCCUCUCCCACUGAACCAUUAUUUUGAAAUUCUGAAUUCUAAACUGAGCAGAGUGAAACGUAAUUUUCUUUCCUUCUCAGCCUUGACAGCACAGAAAUAUAACUAAAGUACAUUUUUGGUCAAGGCAGAUGGCAUUUCACAUCUAUGUUAAAAAUAUGUUUCCCCUCAGCAAAUCAUUGCCCUGUUCUAGUGAUUAAUAUGAAAAGUGAUGUACACACUACAAAAAUAGCUGCAUCUUUGAAAGACGUGAGACUGUUCUAGAAAGUGUCUAUGGGAGAGGUAAAUAGGCUUUCGCCCAGUCCUUUUAAGUAAGGCAGCAUUAAAAUUAACACAGUUCAGAAUGUGAAAUGGUUUUGGUCACAGAAUUAUGUCCUCUAUUGGGAAAAAUGAGGAUCUUUCAGGAAAGAUGGUAAGCUCUGUUGUUAAGGCAUCACUUGCCUCAUGACGUUCCCUUUGAAAAGUAGGGGAGCAGAUGUAUCCCUGGAGUAAACCCAACCUCCACAGAUAAAAUUGUUCCGAGAUUUUCAAUAACAAUCCUUCAUAGCUAGAGCAACAGGAGUGGGAGGUAGGGAAGUCUUCAGAAGUGAAUUAUCCUUGAAAAUAAAUAUUUCUUAUUAACCUAAGGUAGUUUCUAUAUUAACCUCUCCUUGACAGUAUGCGUUUUCAGUUCUCUUUUGCUAUACCUGAAUGCUUUCUCUUUUUAAACUUGCUCUCCUGGGACUGUAAUUCAUUCUGUAUUCCUUUCUCCUAUAUGAUUGUAUAUAAAUAAAUAGAAUCCGAGGAAAAUAUGAAAUUGCAGUAAAGAAAUUAACCUUCCCUCAAGAAUAGUUUCUCUUUCCUGCUGUUUCCUUCUGUGCCCUUUUUCAUCCUCUCUUUCUUCACAAUCCUCAUAGUCUUUUGUUAUUCUGAUAAACCUACUAAUACCGAGGAGCCAGCCUAAUUGCCACCCAUCCCUGGAGAGAGGGGAGAGUGAUGGGUAAGCAGAUGUCAAAGUCUCAAAACAAAGGUGAGUACAAAGCUAUGCAGAGUGCUGGUGAUUUAUAAAGGAGGCCUUAUCGAGCAUUGUUUUGGGAAAUGGUUAUGCACAGAAUUGACAGCUUCAGCUGAAAAGAAAAAAGGAGCACAGUUGGGAUCUAAACCUACCUGAGCAAGCACAUUAUCAUAACCCUUAGAGAAAGCCUAAGGAAAGCUUCAGAAAAGGAUUUAGAGGAAGGGAGUUAGAAAAGGGAGGCUGGCAGCUCUGGGCAAAUAACAGUUUCUGUUUGGAUGAGCCGCUGUUCAGGGAAGCAAAAUCUCAUGCAGUUCUUAUAAAGAACCAGCAAGGAUACCUACCUCACCGUCUUUCCUGCUUCUAACUGAAAUUCUUGCAAGCCCUCACAAAUUUUGGCUAACCAGUGAAAGCAAGAGGCAUAAUGAAGUUUUCUAUUUUUAAUGAAAAAGGGCCUUGAUGUCUCGUAUGCUGAGAGCACGAAUUUGGACGACCUGCAUGACAUGGACCAUGCGCCAUACAGGCCUUGCUCUCCAACCACCUGCUCCAGGCUCCUGCAAGAGGCAGGACAUUGCCCACGUCCUCAUGCUCUCCACUUUGGAGGCAUCAGCAGACACCCACGCCAACCCAUAGCUAUGCAGGAACUGCCCAGAAUUGCCCCUGUCGUUUAUAAAUAACUGACACAAACCUCUUGCCUUUGAUUUUUUGUGGAUUGCUUUGCCCAUCUGUGGCUCUGUAUAAAAAAUAAUUAUUACGCUGUAACAUAUCGUUUACCUGAGUUGAAAGGCUGAAAACACUAAGGUAUCUUUUCUUUCACUCUUCUGCUAGAAACAGUUACUAGGGACAAAUAACUUAAACUCCCCCAAACAUAAGUUUAUACCAGUAGACUCAUAAGGAAACAAGAAUCCAUAUUAGCGUAUUGUUGUCUGUAAACAAAGCCUAUUCCCUGGCCCCAGAAAUAAUUAUCUAGACUUACAGCUUAAUAUAGAAAGUAUGAAAUGUAUAUAUUAUUUAAGGUAGGAUUGUUUUAUAAAUUUGAUAUGUAGACAUAUAUUUCACUCAAUAACUAUGACAGCUAUAUAUUUACUGUUUAAAGGUAGUCUUUUGCAUAUGCAAUAGUUCAGUGAAUCACUUUGGAUUAAAAAAAAUUCAAAACAGGCUAAGGAAAAAAAACAAUAGUAUCACAUUGAGAAGAAGGUAAAUAUGUGGUUCAUUUAGGUUGUUUCACAGGAUUCUCGAAAAUCUUUCUAGCAAGUCCUACUGAAAUGUACCUUCCCUUUUUGGAGCUCAGAAGCUCAAAAUUUAGAUUUUGAAAUGGUAAAAAUUUAAGCAAAAAGUAUCUAUAAUAAAUACUCACCUACAUGAUACCACGGGUCAGAACUUGCUGGAAUGAACGAAUGGGUGAGUGAGCAAAGUAAUUAGCUUUGUCUGGAAAGGGAGGGCUCUGGCCCAGCCAAUUGGGAUUUGUUAUUUAGUGAAAACCUUAACAUAAUUAUAGGGUAGUCGAUUAAACGUGUCUGCUUGCUGUCAUAGCUAUUCACAGUAAGUAAGUAGUAUGACCAAACAUUACCUCUCACAGGUCCUACACUAUGUUCUGUAGCCUACCUCACAAACACCAAGCAAAUACUUUAAAAGAGAUCUUUUUUCCUUCUCUAAAGUGGACCUAUUUUACAUUUUGACUUCAUAUUACUUUUUAGUGCCCCAGUGGUUUGACUAGUGAAACUAAAAGAUUUUUUUCAUGGUGUCACUAUGGAGAACUGGGGUGGAGGGAAGCAAAACGACAUUCCCGAGGGCCCUGUCCAAAGCGCCUAGUGCAUCCGGCAGGUACCGCGGUACACACUGUGCGGGAAGGAGGGCUGCAUGAGGAAGUCCUCAACUGACCAGUGGACACCAAGGUUGCUAAGCCUAGAGAUCGCUGAACUGGGCACCACCUGACCGUUCUCACAGAGAUGCGGGCAGCACCACUAGAGGUUCGCUUGUGGACGCUGAUGUAGGGUAUGUUAACACAUACCCACAUAAAGGCAAUGGAACAACCUUCUCUAUCUGUCAUUCAACCCUCAGUUCUGAUUACGCUCACACAGUUCUCUGGGUUCAAGUCUUCCCACAACCACCAGCUGGGAGGCAGUACCAUAGAUUACAGCUGUUCUGAGCUGCAGACUUUCCAUCAUGCUAGAAAUAUGAUAAUUUAAAAUUUGUUUAUUCUCUGCUUCAGAACGAAAGUGUUUUUACCUUUGAAAUUGCUUUUGGUCUCAAGAAGAUUUUGUUUCAGUGUUGAAACAUUUUUA